UGUCGUUUGGCGUGACGCUGCGCGAGCGCUUUGUGAGUGUUGAUCCGGCGCUGUUCGGCACGGUGGGUGGCAA
rnacentral:tRNA from 1 species